rnacentral:lncRNA from 1 species
AGGAAACGUUGGCUCAGAAAGAUAAGGAAACCGAAGCACAGAGAGGCAGGUCAUCUGGCUGAGGUCACACAGCCACACGGCGAGAGAGCAGUGAAGCUGGAGUUCCAGCAAGCUCCACCUGGCGAGAAUUCAAGCCCUGCCAUGGGCCACCUCUCUGGAGGAAGAGAAAGCCAGCUUCAGACUCUGCCUCUCUCAAUCCUUAUACAAGGCCAGAGAGCGCUUGAGGCUUCCAGGCACUCCUAUGCUUACACACCUUCCAUGGCUCCCAGCUGCCCUCCAGAUAAAGAACAAUCUCCUCAGUGUGGCCCUUGAGGUCCUGUGAUCUGGCCUCUGUCCACC